CCAUGUAGGAAUCGUUAGUGAAAGUAUCAAAUUGUUUGCCUUGAGGAAUGGGUCCCUUGAGAUUAUUUUGAGAAAGGUUUAACACCUCUAAGAAUCCAAGAUUUUUCAACUCUGUUGGAAUUCUUCUUUCCAGCUUAUUUGAUGAGAGGUCUAAUGAUUCAAGCUCUGACAAAUUACCUAAAGAUGAUGGGAUAGGACCUAUUAAACAGUUAUAGGAGAGAUUUAGGACAAUAAGUAAAUGAAGCUCACCAAGUAUUUUUGGAAUUUCUCCCCUGAAUUGGUUACUAGAAAGGUCAAUAACCGUCCAAAUGGAUAAUGUGAUUCAAACUUUAUUUCCAGCCCUCUUGCUAUAACAGAUAAACCAUCAGUAUAAUUCACUAAAAAUUCACUAAGUGCUUCUCUCAUGUAAUGUGGAUCAACUUUCUUUCCAUACUCAUCUCUAAUGGCAUGCAUAUGCUCAAAAAAAGGGUAGGUAAGUAGCCACUAAAUUUAUUGUGAGAAAGAUCAAUGAUUUGCAAUUUAGUUAAAGAAAAUGUAAUAUCAAAGCUCUCUAUUUGGCUGUAAAAUCUAUUCAACCUCAAGGUAAGAACUUGCAGCUGAUCCAAAUUUCCUAACCAACUUGGGAAAGUGUCAUUCAAAUUGUUGUUUCCAACAUUGAGAAGAUUUAAACCUUUGCAAUUACCCAAAGAUCGUGGUAGUGACCCUUCUAAUUUAUUGUUGUCGAUGCGUAAACUUCUCAACAUGCAACCUUUAGCAAAAUUUUCUGGUAUUUGACCAUGAAAAUUAUUAUUCCCUAGCUGAACUGCUAUGAGAGAAGAACUCAAGUUUCCGAUGCACAUUGGAAUUGUUCCCUCCAAAUUAUUCUCAUCUAAAAGCAUAACCAUAAGGGAAGUGAAACUGCAUAUUAAAGAAGGGAUUUCUCCAAUUAAGUUAUUAGUUGAAACUCCAUAGAAUUGCAAUAAAGGUGGUGGUGUUGGAAUUCGACCUUAGAGAUAAAAUUGAAAAUGAGAUAGAAUUAGGAGUUUGAAGAUUCUUUGGAAUAUAAAUUAUAAAAUAACUAUAUUUGUGAUGUAUUACAUGCAUGAUGUGCACACUCGAUACAAAUAAUUGGUUAAUUUACUACACUACUUCUAACCAUUUUUAGAUGCAUCACAACAACUUUUAAGUUGUAAUCUAUUGAAGGAAACUACUACUAUCUUCUAGAGAAAUUUUUAUUUCCCUUACUUAAAAGUAAAAUGGGAUUGCAUAAAUGUAUAAAAAAUUGAAGGAAAAAAAUAUCAAACUAUACCUAAUAGUUUAUUAUAAAAGAGAUAACCAUUUAAUAUCUUACUUAUAUUUCAUUUUUUAGUGUUUAUUAUUAUUUUUGGUACAUUUAUGUAUAUUUUAUAAUUUAUUAUUGGGGUUCACGGUUGCUAUUGUCAAGAAUAUCAUCUCUAAUACUUGAAUCUUGUUCUCCCAUUAAGAGAGUAAUAUGCCUUACCACUGCACCGAAUAUUUAUUGGUGUAGUAUUUAUUAUAACUACAAAUAAAUUUAAUUAUCUUUUUAUGAAACUCUAAGUUAGAGGUCAAAUAAAAAAGAAAUUUAAUUAAUAUAGUGUUUAACUUUUUAUCAUUUUAAUUAUUAGUUAUAAAAUUUUUCCUCACAAUUGAAAUUUAAAAAUGACAUUUUAUGAAAUUUAAAGAUAACAUAAUUAAUAGAAAAUUGACAUUUUCUUUAGAGUCGGAAUUUAAGUAGUAGCAAUAUCUAUAACUGGUACUUCAAAUGUACAUUUUAUGUUUAUAAUUUUUAUAAGAUUCGGAGUUAAUUAAGAUUGUAGCCUCAAAAUUGGUGUUAUGAAAGCCAUUUUUUAUAAGAAUAUUUUUCUAUUUAACAAUGAUUGUCCAGCAUGUUAUAAUUGAAACCUAAUAUGGUAUUCACUAUUACUGACUCGGAACUCGAGUAGGUUCAAGUUACUGACCCACAACCCAAGUAGACUCAAAGGAAUUCGGGUCGGGCCCCACGAAGUGGGCAUGUUAGAGUUCGUACAUCCAAUUUGUGAGUAUGCUAUAGCUCUCGAGCCUAGCUCACAAGACAAGCUUGCACAUUGAGUUCACAUAUCUCUAUAUGCUUGCGAGGAGAGGUGUUAGGUCAAGCACGUGGUCCAUGACCACGUGUUAAGUCUAGAGCAAGAUAUGUGUUAGCAUGCAUGAAGCCUAUCUAAGACGUCAUUUUAGUGAAUAGUAACCGUAUUAUAUAAAUACUAAGUCUUAUGCCCAUAGUAGACACAAAGAGAAAAUACUCAACAAUUUGGUGUAAUGUGUGUGGUCAAACUUUUGAUUGAUAGAUUUUAGGGGUGAGCAAAACUCGAUUCGACUCGAAAAAAUCGAAAAAAAAUUUGAAUUUCGAGUUAAACGAAUCAAGUUUUUCGAGUUAAUCGAGUUAUUCGAAUCAACUCGAAUAUUUUUUUCGAAUUUCGAGUUCGAAUCGAGUUGAGUUUUCGAAUUCGAAUAACCCGAAUAAUUCGAAUAAUUCGAAUAUUAAACUAUAAUAUUUUACAUUUUUACCCCAAACUCCCAAACCUUUUUAUUUUUCCCUCAAAACUUUUACUCCUUCCCACUUUCCCCCCAAAACUUUUACUCCCCUCCCCUCCCAACCCCCCAAUCUACCCAAAAUCUAUUUCCCACCAAAAUUUUACUCUCCCAUUUAUUUUUUCUCAAAAUAACCUUUUUCUUUUUUCAAUCAUGUUCAAAUUUAAGGUAUUAUAAUUUAUUUUGUGUUAAGUUAGAUGAAGCCUAAGCAAUUUAAAUAUAUGUGCUACUAUUUAACAAUAAAUUAGGUUGAAAUAGAAAGAGGAAAGGUAAGUUUUUUUCUGGGAAGAAAGGUGGAGGUGGAGGUAAUGAUGGUAAUCGCACGUGGUGAAGUAGAAGAGAAAAGUAAAUUUUGAGGAUCAAAUUGAAACUAUUUGUAAAAUUUGAGAGUUAAUUAUUUUAAAAUUUUGACUAAAACAAUAUAAGAUAUAAAAUUUGAGAGCUAGAUUUAUAAUUUUACUCAUUUUUUAACUACCACAUUACCCUCCAUAGAGAUUUAAAGAAACGGACAAAAAAAUCUCAAUUAGUUGAGUGAUCAAAUUAAAAAAAAUUGAUAAUUAGGUAACUAAAAAAAGAAAAAUAAAAAUUGAUAAUUGUUCAUCGAUAGUGUAUAGAACUUAUGCACCAACAAUGCAUCAAAUAUUCUCAUUAAAAGAAAAUGUAUAAAAUAAGUUUUAUACUAUCUAUAAUUUGUAAAAAAAAAAAUUCAAUAAAAAAUAAAAAAAUACAUCUAUAAACUCACAAAAAGAAUUACAUAUCUAUAAUAUCUUUUUAUAAAUUCAAUUCCAAAUCUCCUGUAAUAAAUCAACCUCACAAAUCUGAUUGAGGUUAAAAACAAAGAAUGCAUGUAUUGUGCAAUUAAAACUAUGAUCCAUUUUCAAUUCUAAAGUAUUGAACAUAUAAUUUUGCAUUAUUUCACAAACUCUUUGCAAUAAAUUAACCAUCUAUUCCUUAUUUCAAUUUUAUUAAAAAGAUAGGUUCCCAUAAAGACAGUCUUUACAAACCAGUGCACCUAUCAUAAACACAUCAGGGAACAUUGCCAUGAGAGAGGACCUAAGAAAACAUAAUACAAAGCACCCACACAAAAUGUUUAUUAAACAGCUACUGAAAAAGGCCUGCAUACCACCAAGCAAUGAAGUUUUCUGUUCUGUUUGCAACUUGUUGAACUCGCCCAAGUGUUGCCUUCUCUACCUUUUUGCAAAUCUUCGUCGGACUCGCUCCACGAUCCUAAUCAACCACCAUGGUUUUCCAGUCGUGAAUACAAUGUAUGCCAUGCUCAUUCCCAGCACCAACCCACAUCCAUACCCCAUCAAUAUUGAAAAUUUCCAAUUCAAUUCAUCACCAUCAUCAUCUCUAUCAAAUAUGGCUGGGGUUUCCUCAUCAGUACCACAGUUUUUUGAUAGUGGCAAACCACAUAAAUCCAAAUUUCCCAUGUAGGAAUCGUUAGUGAAAGUAUCAAAUUGUUUUCCUUGAGGAAUGGGUCCCUUGAGAUUAUUUUGAGAAAGGUUUAACACCUCUAAGAAUCCAAGAUUUUUUAACUCCGUUGGAAUUCUUCCAUCCAGCUUAUUUGAUGAGAGAUCUAAUGAUUCAAGCUCUGACAAAUUACCUAAAGAUGAUGGGAUAGGACCUAUUAAACAGUUAUGGGAGAUCUAUUCGACCUCAAGAUAAGAACUUGCAGCUGAUCCAAAUUUCCUAACCAACUUGGGAAAGUGUCAUUCAAAUUGUUGUUUCCAACAUCGAGAAGAUUUAAACCUUUGCAAUUACCCAACGAUCGUGGUAGUGACCCUUCUAAUUCAUUGUUGUUGAUGUGUAAACUUCUCAACAUGCAACCUUUAGCAAAAUUUUCUGGUAUUUGACCAUGAAAAUUAUUAUUCCCUAGAAAAACUGCUGUGAGAGAAGAACUCAAGUUUCCGAUGCACUUUGGAAUUGUUCCCUCCAAAUUAUUGUCAUGUAAAGCCAUAGCCACAAGGGAAGUCAAAUUGCAUAUUGAAGAAGGGAUUUCUCCAAUUAAGUUAUUAGUUGAAACUCCAUACAAUUGCAAUAAAGGUGGUGGUGUUGGAAUUCGACCUUAGAGAUAAAAUUGAAAAUGAGAUAGAAUUAGGAGUUUGAAGAUUCUUUGGAAUAAAAAUUAUAAAAUAGCUAUAUUUGAGAUAUGUACACUCAAUACAAAUAAUUGAUUAAUUUACUACACUACUUCUAACCAUUUUAAGAUGCAUCACAACAACUUUUAAGUUGUAAUCUAUUGGAGGAAACUACUACUAUCUUCUAGUGAAAAUUUUAUUUCCCUUACUUAAAAGUAAAAAGGGAUUGCAUAAAUGUAUAAAAAAUAGAAGGAAAAAUAUAUCAAACUAUACCUAAUAGUUUAUUAUAAAAGAGAUAACCAUUUAAUAUCUUACUUAUAUUUCAUUUUUUAGUGUUUAUUAUUAUUUUUUGUACUUUUAUGUAUAUUUUAUAAUUUAUUAUCGGGGUUCACGGUUGUUACUGUCAAGAAUAUCAUCUCUAAGACUUGAAUCUUGUUCUCCCAUUAAGAGAGUAAUAUGUUUUACCACUG
rnacentral:lncRNA from 1 species